rnacentral:rRNA from 1 species
CCUACGGGUGGCAGCAGUGGGGAAUAUUGCACAAUGGGGGAAACCCUGAUGCAGCGACGCCGCGUGAGUGAAGAAGGAAUUCGGGAUGUAAAGCUCUAUUAGUAGGGAAGAAAAUGACGGUACUUGAGUAAGAAGCCCCGGCUAACUACGGGCCAGCAGCCGCGGUAAUACGUAGGGGGCAAGCGUUAUCCGGAUGUACUGGGUGUAAAGGGGGCGUAGGCGGCAGUGCAAGUUUGGAGGGAAAGGCGGGGGCUCAACCCCCGGACUGCUCGGGAAACUGGCCGGCUUGAGUGCGGGAGAGGUAAGUGGAAUUCCUGGUGUAGCGGUGAAAUGCGUAGAUAUUAGGAAGAACACCAGUGGCGAAGGCAGCUUACUGGACUGUAACUGACGUUGAGGCUCGAAAGCGUGGGGAGCGAACAGGAUUAGAUACCCCAGUAGUC